rnacentral:rRNA from 1 species
UACGAAGGGGGCUAGCGUUGCUCGGAAUCACUGGGCGUAAAGGGUGCGUAGGCGGGUCUUUAAGUCAGGGGGUGAAAUCCUGGAGCUCAACUCCAGAACUGCCUUUGAUACUGAGGAUCUUGAGUUCGGGAGAGGUGAGUGGAACUGCGAGUGUAGAGGUGAAAUUCGUAGAUAUUCGCAAGAACACCAGUGGCGAAGGCGGCUCACUGGCCCGAUACUGACGCUGAGGCACGAAAGCGUGGGGAGCAAACAGGG